UACGUAGGGUGCAAGCGUUGUCCGGAAUUAUUGGGCGUAAAGAGCUCGUAGGCGGUUUGUUGCGUCGGCUGUGAAAUCCCGAGGCUCAACCUCGGGUCUGCAGUCGAUACGAGCAAACUAGAGUGUUGCAGGGGAGACUGGAAUUCCUGGUGUAGCGGUGAAAUGCGCAGAUAUCAGGAGGAACACCGGUGGCGAAGGCGGGUCUCUGGGCCGAUACUGACGCUGAGGAGCGAAAGCGUGGGUAGCGAACAGG
rnacentral:rRNA from 1 species